AGGACGAACGCUGGCGGCGUGCUUAACACAUGCAAGUCGAGCGGAAAGGCCCUUCGGGGUACUCGAGCGGCGAACGGGUGAGUAACACGUGAGCAACCUGCCCCUGGCUCUGGGAUAGCCUCCGGAAACGGGGAUUAAUACCGGACAUUCACCUCCUUCCGCAUGGUUGGUGGUGGAAAGUUUUUCGGCCGGGGAGGGGCUCGCGGUCUAUCAGCUUGUUGGCGGGGUAACGGCCCACCAAGGCGACGACGGAUAG
rnacentral:rRNA from 1 species